GCUUAUGAGUCACAAGACCCAGGGCAGUAUGCUGAUGUUCUUGUCUGAUCAAACAUUUAAUUGGGCAACAACUCCUGUGAUUUAAGGCAUGGAAAGCCAUCAAACUUGUGGUGGCUUGAUGGAUACAGCAGGUGCCAAGAAGAUCAAGUCUCUUCUGAAUCACUACAGCUGUGAAGCACAUCUCCAAAUGACAUUAAACAUUUUCUUCUCCACAUGA